rnacentral:lncRNA from 1 species
AAGUUUGUUUGUGAGGUACUUCUGUAAGAAUCUUUCAUCCUGAAAGUGACACUUGAAAACUCUGUUGCAGAUCUUGACAGGAUUCACAUGUGAAUACCCAAGAUCUGUGAUGUAUUGUUUUGCUGUGGAAAGGAGUAUAAAUAUAUUUCACUUCCAAAGGUUUAUGUGAACGCCCUGACAGUAUCUGAACUCACUCACCUACCAUCACUGCUAUCUGCUGGGUGUACUGGAUGCCAGCUCCAUUUCCCUGAUGCUUGUCCUGCUUUUGUCUCCGUGAAAAGCUCUUGAUAAUACAUCCACCUUUGUGUUUGUAAUAUUGAAAUGUGCAGCCAGAUUCUUAGCUUUGCAAGGACCUUUUUGUCAUCUUUUGAAGACACACUGAGAUUGGUAACAAAU